rfam:Oryza sativa (indica cultivar-group) chromosome 9, whole genome shotgun sequence.
AAAAAAGACAAACCUAGGUUUCCGUGUCCAACGUUUGACUAUCCGUAAUUAGUAUUUUUAUUGUUGUUAGAUGAUAAAACAUAAUUAAUAUUUUAUGCGUGACUUAUCUUUUCAUUUUUUUUAUAAUUUUUUUAAUAAGACGGACGGUAAAAUAUUGGACAUGGAAACCAAGAUUUCUCUCUUU